UCAUGCUCCAAGAGUGGGCCUUGGCCGUGUAAAAGUGCUUACAGUGCAGGUAGCAUUCUGCGAUCUACUGCAAUGCAAGCACUUCUUACAUUACUGGGGCGAUGGGAUCGGACGCCAAG
rnacentral:pre_miRNA from 12 species